rnacentral:rRNA from 1 species
GACGAACGCUGGCGGCGUGCUUAACACAUGCAAGUCGAACGGAAAGGCCCUGCUUUUGUGGGGUGCUCGAGUGGCGAACGGGUGAGUAACACGUGAGUAACCUGCCCUUGACUUUGGGAUAACUUCAGGAAACUGGGGCUAAUACCGGAUAGGGGCCCCUGCUGCAUGGUGGGGGUUGAAAAGUUUCGGCGGUUGGGGAUGGACCCGCGGCUUAUCAGCUUGUUGGUGGGGUAGUGGCUUACCAAGGCUUUGACGGGUAGCCGGCCUGAGAGGGUGACCGGCCACAUUGGGACUGAGAUACGGCCCAGACUCCUACGGGAGGCAGCAGUGGGGAAUAUUGCACAAUGGGCGGAAGCCUGAUGCAGCAACGCCGCGUGCGGGAUGACGGCCUUCGGGUUGUAAACCGCUUUCGCCUGUGACGAAGCGUGAGUGACGGUAAUGGGUAAAGAAGCACCGGCUAACUACGUG